UUUGACGUUCACAGAUUUUCCCGCGAAGGCCGCGAACCGCGAGUGUGGAGGGUUUCGCAGCUUCGUGUUUGCGCUUCGCGGCUUCGUAUUUAGGACGCAUCGUGUUCACGGCGCGUAGCA